rnacentral:rRNA from 2 species
AAGUCUGACGGAGCACGCCGCGUGAGUGAUGAAGGUUUUCGGAUCGUAAAGCUCUGUUGUUAGGGAAGAACAAGUGCCGUUCAAAUAGGGCGGCACCUUGACGGUACCUAACCAGAAAGCCACGGCUAACUACGUGCCAGCAGCCGCGGUAAUACGUAGGUGGCAAGCGUUGUCCGGAAUUAUUGGGCGUAAAGGGCUCGCAGGCGGUUUCUUAAGUCUGAUGUGAAAGCCCCCGGCUCAACCGGGGAGGGUCAUUGGAAACUGGGGAACUUGAGUGCAGAAGAGGAGAGUGGAAUUCCACGUGUAGCGGUGAAAUGCGUAGAGAUGUGGAGGAACACCAGUGGCGAAGGCGACUCUCUGGUCUGUAACUGACGCUGAGGAGCGAAAGCGUGGGGAGCGAACAGGAUUAGAUACCCUGGUAGUCCACGCCGUAAACGAUGAGUGCUAAGUGUUAGGGGGUUUCCGCCCCUUAGUGCUGCAGCUAACGCAUUAAGCACUCCGCCUGGGGAGUACGGUCGCAAGACUGAAACUCAAAGGAAUUGACGGGGGCCCGCACAAGCGGUGGAGCAUGUGGUUUAAUUCGAAGCAACGCGAAGAACCUUACCAGGUCUUGACAUCCUCUGACAAUCCUAGAGAUAGGACGUCCCCUUCGGGGGCAGAGUGACAGGUGGUGCAUGGUUGUCGUCAGCUCGUGUCGUGAGAUGUUGGGUUAAGUCCCGCAACGAGCGCAACCCUUGAUCUUAGUUGCCAGCAUUCAGUUGGGCACUCUAAGGUGACUGCCGGUGACAAACCGGAGGAAGGU